rnacentral:rRNA from 1 species
AUUGAACGCUGGCGGCAUGCCUUACACAUGCAAGUCGAACGGCAGCACGGGAGCAAUCCUGGUGGCGAGUGGCGAAUGGGUGAGUAAUAUAUCGGAACGUGCCCAGUCGUGGGGGAUAACGCAGCGAAAGCUGUGCUAAUACCGCAUACGAUCUACGGAUGAAAGCGGGGGAUCGCAAGACCUCGCGCGAUUGGAGCGGCCGAUAUCAGAUUAGCUAGUUGGUGGGGUAAAGGCCUACCAAGGCGACGAUCUGUAGCCGGUCUGAGAGGACGACCAGCCACACUGGAACUGAGACACGGCCCAGACUCCUACGGGAGGCAGCAGUGGGGAAUUUUGGACAAUGGGCGCAAGCCUGAUCCAGCAAUGCCGCGUGCAGGAAGAAGGCCUUCGGGUCGUAAACUGCUUUUGUACGGAACGAAAAGGUUUGGGUUAAUACCCUGGGCCGAUGACGGUACCGUAAGAAUAAGCACCGGCUAACUACGUGCCAGCAGCCGCCGCAG